CUCAGGAUGAACGCUAGCUACAGGCUUAACACAUGCAAGUCGCGGGGCAGCAUAUAGAUAGCUUGCUAUUAUGAUGGCGACCGGCGCACGGGUGAGUAACGCGUAUCCAACCUUCCCCAUAGUAGGGUAUAGCCCGGCGAAAGUCGGAUUAAUCCCCUAUGUUGUUUGAAGCGGACAUCUAAUUCAAACCAAAGAUUCAUCGCUAUGGGAUGGGGAUGCGUCUGAUUAGGUUGCAGGCGGGGUAACGGCCCACCUGGCCGACGAUCAGUAGGGGUUCUGAGAGGAAGGUCCCCCACACUGGUACUGAGACACGGACCAGACUCCUACGGGAGGCAGCAGUGAGGAAUAUUGGUCAAUGGGCGCGAGCCUGAACCAGCCAAGUAGCGUGCCAGGAUGACGGCCCUACGGGUUGUAAACUGCUUUUAUGCGGGGAUAAAGUGCGGCACGUGUGCCGUUUUGCAGGUACCGCAUGAAUAAGGACCGGCUAAUUCCGUGCCAGCCGCGGC
rnacentral:rRNA from 1 species